rnacentral:rRNA from 1 species
GACGAACGCUGGCGGCGUGCUUAACACAUGCAAGUCGAACGGAAAGGCCCUGCUCUUGUGGGGCGCUCGAGUGGCGAACGGGUGAGUAACACGUGAGUAACCUGUCCUUGACUUUGGGAUAACUUCAGGAAACUGGGGCUAAUACAGGAUAGGAGCUCCUGCAGCACGGUGGGGGUUGGAAAGAUACGGCGGUUGGGGAUGGACUCGCGGCUUAUCAGCUUGUUGGUGGGGUAGUGGCUUACCAAGGCUUUGACGGGUCGCCGGCCUGGGAGGGUGACCGGCCACAUUGGGCCUGGGGUAGGGCCCAGAGUCCUACGGGGGGCAGCAGUGGGAAAUAUUGCGCAAUGGGCGGAGGCCUGAUACAGCGACGCCGCGUGCGGGAUGACGGCCUUCGGGUUGUAAACCGCUUUCGCCUGUGACGAAGCGUGAGUGACGGUAAUGGGUAAGGAAGCACCGGCUAACUACGUG